AAUCCAUUCUCUUCUUUCCUCUUCCUACUCCUUUCCUCUAACCCCAAUUAAAAAACAAAACAAACCUACUCAUUUGUUUGUAUUCCCAUCCCCUACUCUUUUGUCCAUUUGUAUCAUUAAACUGUAAACCCUUCAGGACACUGGUCACUUCUUUCCAUGUCUGUAUAGUGCCUAGCACCUGGGCCCUUGGGUGCUAUUAUAAUAUUAAUAUUGCCUACUCCACAGAACCAAGCUCUGAGUGCCAGUCCCCUGCAAUAACCACUAGACAAAGCUUCCUUUUUUGUAUUUUCUGAACCAAAUACAGGGACUGAUUAUGAUGGAAUUAACCUGUGAACAAUGUUCUUGAAUAUUACCUCCGGGAUAAGAUGGCAUCCCCCCAGGUUGGGGAGCUCCAGGGUAGCCCCCCCCAGGUUGGGGAGCUCCAGGGUAGCCUCCAGACACAGGGUAUCCUGCAGCUCCUGGGAACCCACCACUCGGUGGCGCUGCAGAAUAUGCACCACCUCCCACAGGAGGGAAGCCUCCAGGAACAGCAGGAUAGGGAUAUUGACCAGCAGGUGGAUAAACAGACUCUUGUCCUGUAGGCUGAAAACAGAUAAUGGAGAGAAUAUUGUGUAUCUGCUAGAAAGACAAGGAAUACAGACUCUCUUUCUCUAGGUACCAAAGUAUGCACAACUUAAUUAACAAUAAAGUCUGACUUAACCCUUAACAAAGAAGAGAAAUUCAAAAUCUGCACUGAUGAACUUACUUUAACUAUUGUUACUGAGUUAAAAAAACCAGUACUGAUAUGGAGACAUCAAAAUGUAUUUGCCUUGUCAAGUGUGACCCUGACCUUUAACACUCUAAUAGCAAGAUGAGCAAUAAAUGAAAUACAGAUCUUGAAACAGCACAUUCAAAAUUGACUAGGGUCUCCGAGGGAAAAGUUCCUAUGGGUUAAUAGCCAUACAUGAGAUCUCAGAAAUAUGCAAUCCAAGAGCUACUGAAACUAUAGUUCAUGACUAUAUAAAUCAAAUUGGUUCAUUGUAAAUAAGUUCUAGGCAGGUGCCACUCCCAAACUGCUCUGCAAACACAGCCCACACAUUAUGUACAAUUCAUACUCACCACUUCCUGGGAUUUGGUUUUAUUAACAGAAAUUAACAAUACAACAAAACUCUAUUCAAACCUUCUCAGGCUUGGCUGCUCCCAAGAUUCCUACCUCUGGACUGCUCAGCUCACACAUUAAAUUCUUCCUGCCCAGAAGGUCAUUCCCACCUUCCUUAUAUUUUCUACAGAGAGCCAGCAAA